ACAAUAAGCAAAAUAAGGGCGUAUGGGGGAUGCCUAGGCUCUCAGAGGCGAAGAAGGACGUGAUAAGCUGCGAAAAGCUGCGGGGAUUGGCACAUACGAAUUGAUCCGCAGAUAUCCCAAUGGGGCAACCCACUAUGUUGAAGACAUAGUAUCCAAUAGGAGGCGAACCCGCUGAACUGAAACAUCUAAGUAGGCGGAGGAGAAGAAAACAAAAGUGAUUGCGUAAGUAGUGGCGAGCGAAAGCGCAUUAGCCCAAACCAGUGUUGUUACGGCAAUACUGGGGUUGUAGGACCACAAUAUUUCUUGUAAACCGAAUUAGAAUAACCUGGAAAGGUUAACCACAGAGGGUGAUAGUCCCGUAUAAGUAAGGAAUAUAAAGGAUAGUGGUAUCCUGAGUAGGGCGGGGCACGUGAAACCCUGUCUGAAUCUGGCGGGACCAUCCGCUAAGGCUAAAUACUCCUGAGAGACCGAUAGUGAACCAGUACUGUGAAGGAAAGGUGAAAAGAACCGUGAAUAACGGAGUGAAAUAGAACCUGAAACCAUACGCCUACAAGCGGUCGGAGCAGCAAAAGCUGUGACGGCGUGCCUUUUGCAUAAUGAGCCUACGAGUUAACGUUGCUGGCAAGGUUAAGCACUUCAGGUGCGGAUCCGUAGCGAAAGCGAGUCUGAAUAGGGCGCUUGAGUCAGUAAUGUUAGACGCGAAACCGUGUGAUCUACCCAUGGGCAGGAUGAAGCUGUGGUAACACAUAGUGGAGGUCCGAACCGGUUGACGUUGAAAAGUCUUCGGAUGACCUGUGGGUAAGGUUGAAAGGCCAAUCAAACUCGGAAAUAGCYCGUACUCCCCGAAAUGCAUUUAGGUGCAGCGCAGUGGUAGAGUUAUAUAGAGGUAGAGCUACUGAUUGGAUGCGGGGGCUUCACCGCCUACCAAUUCCUGACAAACUCCGAAUGCUAUAUAAUAUACACAGCAGUGAGGGCUGGGGUGCUAAGGUCCCAGUCCGAGAGGGAAAGAACCCAGACCAUCAGCUAAGGUCCCCAAAUGUAUACUAAGUUGAUCAAACGCGGUUUGAUUGCAUCGACAGCUAGGAUGUUGGCUUGGAAGCAGCCAUUCAUUUAAAGAGUGCGUAACAGCUCACUAGUCGAGCGAUCGAGCAUGGAUAAUAAUCGGGCAUAAGUAUACUACCGAAGCUAUGGAUUUGACAAAAGUCAAGUGGUAGGGGAGCAUUCUAACAUCGUAGAAGGGAUUCCGUGAGGAUUUCUGGAGAGGUUAGAAAAGAAAAUGUAGGCAUAAGUAACGAUAAGGGGUGCGAGAAACACCCCCGCCGUAAAACUAAGGUUUCCGCAGCUAUGCUAAUCAGCUGCGUAUCGGAUAGUGUACCUAAAGGCUGCCAAGAAAACCUUCUAAACAUAGAUUAUAAGUACCCGUACCGUAAACCGACACAGGUAGUUGAGGAGAGUAUCCUAAGGCGCUCGAGAGAUUCAUGGCUAAGGAAUUAGGCAAAAUAGACCUGGGAGAAAGGUCGCCAGCGCAAGCUGGCCGCAGUGAAAAGGUCCAGGCGACUGUUUAUCAAAAACACAGGGCUCUGCCAAAUCGUAAGAUGAAGUAUAGGGCCUGACACCUGCCGGGUUAAGAGGAGAUGUUAUGAGCAAUCAGAAGCAUUGAAUUGAAGCCCCAGUAAACGGCGGCCGUAACUAUAACGGUCCUAAGGUAGCGAAAUUCCUUGUCGGGUAAGUUCCGACCUGCACGAAUGGUGUAACGAUCUGGACACUGUCUCAGCCAUGAGCUCGGUGAAAUUGWAGUAUCGGUGAAGAUGCCGAUUACCCGCAGUGGGACGAAAAGACCCUGUGCACCUUUACUAUAGCUUAGUAUUGACCUUGGAUAAGUGAUGUGUAGGAUAGGUGGGAGACUGUGAAAUGGCGUCGCUAGGCGUUGUGGAGUCAUUGUUGAAAUACCACCCUUUGCUUAUCUGAGGCCUAACUCCAUAUUGUGGAGGACAUUGCUUGGUGGGUAGUUUGACUGGGGUGGUCGCCUCCAAAAGAGUAACGGAGGCUUCUAAAGGUUCCCUCAGCACGCUUGGUAACCGUGCGUAGAGUGCAAUGGCAUAAGGGAGCUUGACUGAGAGACAUACAGGUCGAUCAGGUACGAAAGUAGAGCAUAGUGAUCCGGUGGUUCCGCAUGGAAGGGCCAUCGCUCAAAGGAUAAAAGGUACGCCGGGGAUAACAGGCUGAUCUCCCCCAAGAGCUCAUAUCGACGGGGGGGUUUGGCACCUCGAUGUCGGCUCGUCACAUCCUGGGGCUGGAGAAGGUCCCAAGGGUUGGGCUGUUCGCCCAUUAAAGUGGCACGCGAGCUGGGUUCAGAACGUCGUGAGACAGUUCGGUCUCUAUCUACUGUGGGCGUUAGAAAUUUGAGUGGAUCUGACUCUAGUACGAGAGGACCGAGUUGGACCAACCGCUGGUGUAUCUGUUGUUCCGCCAGGAGCACCGCAGAGUAGCUACGUUGGGAAGGGAUAAGCGCUGAAAGCAUAUAAGCGCGAAACCCACCACAAGAUGAGAUUUCUUUUAAGGGUCGUGGAAGAUGACCACGUUGAUAGGCUAUAGAUGUAAAGGCAGUAAUGUCACAGUCAAGUAGUACUAAUAACCCGUAAGCUUAUUGUA
rnacentral:rRNA from 1 species